UACGGAGGGUGCAAGCGUUAUUCGGAAUCACUGGGCGUAAAGGACGCGUAGGCGGGAAGCCAAGUCUGAUGUGAAAUCCUAUGGCUUAACCAUAGAACUGCAUUGGAAACUGGUUACCUAGAGUAUGGGAGGGGGAGAUGGAAUUAGUGGUGUAGGGGUAAAAUCCGUAGAUAUCACUAGGAAUACCGAAAGCGAAGGCG
rnacentral:rRNA from 1 species